rnacentral:rRNA from 1 species
UAGGGAAUAUUAGAAAUGGACGAGAGUCUGAUCUAGCGACACCGCGUGUGCGAAGAAGGCCUUCGGGUUGUAAAGCACUUUUUGGAAGGAAUAGGAAGGAAGGUACUUCCAGAAUAAGUCUCGGCUAACUACGUGCCAGCAGCCGCGGUAACACGUAGGAGGCGAACGUUAUCCGGAUUUACUGGGCGUAAAGCGCGUGUAGGUGGUUCUGUAAGUAGGGCGUGAAAGCUCCUGGCUCAACUGGGAGAGGCCGUUCUAAACUGCAGAGCUAGAGGAUGGUAGAGGGAGGUGGAAUUCCAGGUGUAGCGGUGGAAUGCGCAGAUAUCUGGAGGAACACCAGUGGCGAAGGCGGCCUCCUGGACCAUUCCUGACACUCAGACGCGAAAGCUAGGGUAGCAAACG